rnacentral:rRNA from 1 species
UAAGUAAUGUGAAUUGCAGUAUUCCGUGAAUCAUCGAAUCUUUGAACGCAAAUUGCACUCUCUGGUAUUCCGGAGAGUAUGCCUGUUUGAGGGUCAAUUAAAUAAAAAUCGGGGUUGUUGCUGCUUUUUGUGGUGACGCUUCGGAAUUGGGUCGUCUUUACCUUCGGUUAAGUGACCUAAAAUUUCGUAUGAUUUUUCGAACGUAUUUAAAUGAUUUUACGUAUGUUUGUAAUAUCGAAUAUUAGGUGUGGUCAUUUUCGUGAUUCAUGUCUAUAAUUUUCAUAUAUUGACCUCAAAUCAGGUAAGAAUACCCGCUGAACUUAA